rnacentral:lncRNA from 1 species
UCAUCCACCAUAGAAGCCUUGGCUAAUGCAACCUGCACAGUUCUCUCAGCUUCAAGUAAUGCCGCCUCUUUUGACUUGGUCAAACGGUCUACUUGAGCUCAGCUUCUAAAGGCGCAAGUAUGGCUUCUAUUGGAGGCAUAUCGUCGUCUUUCUGAGCUGCAUGAACCCUUCUUAGAGUAGCUUCUGCUGCAAACUGAGCUGCCAUUGAUGCUUUCUUC